AGUGAACGCUGGCGGUAGGCCUAACACAUGCAAGUCGAACGGCAGCACAGUAAGAGCUUGCUCUUACGGGUGGCGAGUGGCGGACGGGUGAGGAAUACAUCGGAAUCUACUUUUUCGUGGGGGAUAACGUAGGGAAACUUACGCUAAUACCGCAUACGACCUACGGGUGAAAGCAGGGGAUCUUCGGACCUUGCGCGAUUGAAUGAGCCGAUGUCGGAUUAGCUAGUUGGCGGGGUAAAGGCCCACCAAGGCGACGCUCCGUAGCUGGUCUGAGAGGAUGAUCAGCCACACUGGAACUGAGACACGGUCCAGACUCCUACGGGAGGCAGCAGUGGGGAAUAUUGGACAAUGGGCGCAAGCCUGAUCCAGCCAUACCGCGUGGGUGAAGAAGGCCUUCGGGUUGUAAAGCCCUUUUGUUAGGAAAGAAAAGCAGCAGGUUAAUACCCCGCUGUUCUGACGGUACCCAAAGAAUAAGCACCAGCUAACUUCGUG
rnacentral:rRNA from 1 species